GGAACAUAGUUAUAGAGGAACCAAAUCACAGGGGAACUGAAUCACAGGGGAACAUAGUUGUAGGAGAACCAAAUCAUGGGGGAACAUAGAUAUAGAGGAACCAAAUCACAGGGGAACUGAGCCAGAGGGGAACAUAGUUAUAGGGGAAGUGAAUCACAGGGGAAUGUAGUUAUAGGGGAAGUGAAUCACAGGGGAACAUACAGGGGAACUGAAUCACAGGGGAAUGUAGUUAUAUAGAGGAACCAAAUCACAGGGGAACUGAACCAGAGGGGAACAUAGUUAUAGGGGAAGCGAAUCACAGGGGAACAUAGUUAUAGGGGAAGUGAAUCACAGGGGAACAUAGUUCUAGGGGAACUGAAUCACAGGGGAACAUAGUUGUAGGAGAACCAAAUCAUGGGGGAACAUAGUUAUAGAGGAACCAAAUCACAGGGGAACUGAACCAGAGGGGAACAUAGUUAUAGGGGAAGCGAAUCACAGGGGAACAUAGUUCUAGGGGAACUGAAUCACAGGGGAACAUAGUUAUAUAGAGGAACCAAAUCACAGGGGAACUGAAUCAAAGGAGAACAUAGCUAUAGGGGAAGUGAAUCACAGGGGAACAUACAGGGGAACAGAACCACAGGGGAACAUAGUUAUAGAGGAACCGAAUCACAGGGGAACUGAAUCAAAGGAGAACAUAGUUAUAGGGGAAGUGAAUCACAGGGGAACAUACAGGGGAACUGAAUCACAGGGGAAUGUAGUUAUAUAGAGGAACCAAAUCACAGGGGAACUGAACCAGAGGGGAACAUAGUUAUAGGGGAAGUGAAUCACAGGGGAACAUAGUUCUAGGGGAACUGAAUCACAGGGGAACAUAGUUGUAGGAGAACCAAAUCAUGGGGGAACAUAGAUAUAGAGGAACCAAAUCACAGGGGAACUAAAUCAAAGGAGAACAUAGCUAUAGGGGAAGUGAAUCACAAGGGAACAUACAGGGGAACCGAACCACAGGGGAACAUAGUUAUAGAGGAACCAAAUCACAGGGGAACUGAAUCAAAGGAGACCAUAGCUAUAGGGGAAGUGAAUCACAGGGGAACAUACAGGGGAACAUAGUUAUAGAGGAACCAAAUCACAGGGGAACUGAAUCAAAGGAGACCAUAGCUAUAGGGGAAGUGAAUCACAGGGGAACAUACAGGGGAACCUAAUCACAGGGAACAUAGUUAUAG
rnacentral:lncRNA from 1 species